UUUAUUCCUUUCUCCUUUUCCGGUUUUUCGUCCACGCCAUUCAUCUCAUCUCCAAGGAGAUUAUUUCUCAUCUCCUCUCUUUCUCUUUCCUUUCCUUCGAAUUCCUCUAGGUAGUGCCGUAGUCCACCACCUUCUUCCUCAUUUUUUCUCUUGGCUCCCUUCUUCUUCCACCAGUCCACCACCUUCUUCCUCCCAAUUUAUCUUUUGAAGAAUUUAUGAUCGUUUUCUUCUCUCCUCCAUUGUUCACAUUUCUGUACAACUCCUGGCUACCCUAUGGACAUCUACAGGAGCUCUUCGAUACUACCACAAGGUUUCUCUCCAUGAGCUGAUUAUUAUCAUGUCUCACUUCUAUUUGUAAAUCCUAAAUUGUUAUGAUUCAUCAUAGCUAAACAGUAGUUUUGCACCUAUUACGUACUAGGUUGUGCAGAGGAGGAGGAUUGGCGCUGGGGUCGUUAGUGUGGAGUGCAUGAGAAGCUAAGCAUGUGGUGCCACUACUUCACGGUGUUCUGUGUUCUCUGUAAAUCAGUCAGAUAAAUCUGAGCUAUACGACGAGUUGAAUGCUAUUAAGGGUGAAAAAGAACAAAACAUGGCAUUUAUAAAUGAAAAAAGAUCGCAAAUGAAGCCCUUGCAGGCAGCGUUGGCCUCCUUACGUGGUGGUGGUGGAGAGAAGGGAUUUCGCAUAUGUUCACCAAAGAGGGUUCUAUUACUUCUUUCCAGGAAGCGUUGGCCUCCUUACGUGGUGGUGGUGGAGAGAAGGGAUUUCGGAUAUGUUCACCAAAGAGGGUUCUAUUACUUCUGUCCAGCCUAUCUAUGUGCCUGCUGAUGAUUUGACAGAUCCUGCUCCUACUACAACUUUUGCUCACUUGGAUGCCACUACUGUGUUAUCCUGACAGGGACAUUUCGAGCUGCUAAAUUGGUAUAUGCAGCACCUAAAAGAACUAAAGAGCUGGAUGCUCAUUCGACCUUCUCACUGAUCAUCCUAGGCUUUCUUCUCGUGCAGAGACAUCUUGAUCAAGAGUGAGUACAGUGCUCACAAUACGCAAUUCUCGAGCGCAAGAAGUCGCUGAAUCGGUACAUAUGCAAUGAGGGUUAGAGAAUGGUAUGGCUGGCAUUCAUUUUCCCGAGCUUGCAAAGAUUUUACAAGACAAUAUAGUCUAUGCCAAGACUGCGAAGUUCAUGUUGAAUCGUGUUAAUGCUGCGAAGUUGGAUUUCUCUGAGAUCUUGCCUGAGGAGGUUGAGAUAACACUCAAAGAGGUUUCCAUGAUUUCCGUGGGAACUGAAGUCAGCGAUCUUGAUCUAACAAAUAUCUCGGAACUCUGCGACCAAGUUUUGUCUUUAGCUGAAUACAGCGCUCAACUAUAUGAUUAUCUGAAAAGCAGAAUGAACACAAUUGCUCCGCAGUUGACUGGUGUUGUUGGUGCUCGUCUUAUUGCUCAUGGUGGUAGCUUGAUAAAUCUUGCAAAGCAGCCUGGAAGCAUAGUACAAAUUCUUGGGGCAGAAAAUGCUCUUUUCAGAGCUUUGAAAACAAAGCAUACAAUCCCUAAAUAUGGGAUUAUCUAUCACACAUCCUUGAUUGGGCAAGCUGCCCCUAAGAACUGGUGAUCUACCUGAGUGGACUUUUAAGGUGGAGUUUCAAUUGGAUCGUACCUGCUAAUUAACCAUAGUUCGUAGUAGAUUGGUUAAUUAGGUCGAUCCAAAUUAGUGAAAUAAUGUUAGAUUGGAGAGAACUCAAAAUACUAAUGCUAUAGAGAAAGUGGUAAAUAUUUUGUUACCAAUGGAGAAUUUGCAAAAGUAUGAUGCUACAAAAGACAAUGUCACUUUUUCUUUUUGCAAUCAAAAAAUGGUUUGUGGUUCAUGGGGAACUAUUA